GGACAGAUGGCCGAGCGGUCUAAGGCGCUGCACUCAAGUUGCAGUCAAGCAAUUGGCGUGGGUUCGAAUCCCACUCUGUUCA
rfam:Rhizoclosmatium globosum strain JEL800 BCR33scaffold_97, whole genome shotgun sequence.